rnacentral:ncRNA from 2 species
CGAAGUAGGAAUAAGCGCGUGAAGUUUUCAGUGGAUGGGGAGUUGCCCUGAACCGAAGAUCCCGCCCUGCGGCAGGGGUCGCGGUGCUUAUUCUGCACCCGUUG